CAGUCGCCGCGGGAAUACAGAGGGUGCAAGCGUUAAUCGGAAUUAUUGGGCGUAAAGGGUGCGUAGGUGGUCAUUUAAGUCAGAUGUGAAAUCCCAGGGCUUAACCUUGGAAUUGCAUUUGAUACUGGGUGGCUAGAGUACAGAAGAGGGAAGUGGAAUUUCCGGUGUAGCGGUGAAAUGCGUAGAUAUCGAAAGGAACAUCAGUGGCGAAGGCGACUUCCUGGUCUGUAACUGACACUGAGGCACGAAAGCGUGGGGAGCAAACAGGAUUAGAUACCCCCGUAGUCCCUGUCUCUUAUAC
rnacentral:rRNA from 1 species